AAACCAAGACCAAACGAAGCUGAGCUUUUCUGAAAUCAGGUCUGAGUCUGUCUGAAAAGGAACAAGAAAGGCUACCCUGACGGGCAACAGGCAGCAGAAACGGACGAAACUACUAGACGUGUGGAUGACAUGGCACCAGGAUGCACUAAAGUGCAGCCUUGGAGCAACAAAUCUCUGUGCAGACUGAUGACCCUGACAACCAAUUCCUCCUCAUGCUGGAUCAUUAGGGUGUAUAAGUUGGAGAGAGACUCAGCAGUCAUUGGUA